GACGAACGCUGGCGGCGUGCUUAACACAUGCAAGUCGAACGGUCAACUAGGGAGCUUGCUCCCCCCAGAUCAGUGGCGAACGGGUGAGUAACACGUGAGCAAUCUGCCCCUAACUCUGGGAUAAGCGCUGGAAACGACGUCUAAUACCGGAUACGAUGCUGAAGGGCAUGCUCCCCUCGUGGAAAAAACUUCCGUUCGGGAUGAGCGAGCGGCCUAUCCGUCUUUUGGUGAAGGAACGGCUCACCACGGCGACGGCGGGUAGCCGGCCUGAGAGGUUGACCGGCCACACUGGGACUGAGAGACGGCCCAGACUCCUACGGGCGGCAGCAGUGGGAAAUAUUGCACAAUGGGCGCAAGCCUGAUGCAGCAACGCCGCGUGAGGGAAGACGGCCUUCGGGUUGUAAACCUCUUUUAGCAGGGAAGAAGCGAAAGUGACGUUACCUGAAGAAAAAGCACCGGCUAACUACGUG
rnacentral:rRNA from 1 species